AUUCUGUUUGAUCUGGCGGAGGUUACUGCUAUCGAGGUUCGACUAAGCCAUGCGAGUCGAAUGUAGCAAUACUAGGCGUACUGCUCAGUAACACGUGGACAACCUACCCUUAGGUCGGGGAUAAACCCGGGAAACUGGGUAUAAUACCCGAUAGUCCUCGGGUGCUGGAAUGCACCGAGGUCUAAAGCUCCGGCGCCUAAGGAUGGGACUGCGGCCUAUCAGGUAGUAGUGGGUGUAGCGUACCUACUAGCCUACGACGGGUACGGGUUGUGAGAGCAAGAGCCCGGAGAUGGAUUCUGAGACACGAAUCCAGGCCCUACGGGGUGCAGCAGGCGCGAAAACUUUACAAUGCGGGAAACCGUGAUAAGGGAAUCUCGAGUGCCAGCAUAUAAUGUUGGCUGUCUGGAUGCCUAAAAAGCAUCUGAUAGCAAGGGCCGGGCAAGACCGGUGCCAGCCGCCGCGGUAACACCGGCGGCCCGAGUGGUAACCGCUUUUAUUGGGUCUAAAGGGUCUGUAGCCGGCCAGGUAAGUCCCUUGGGAAAUCUGGCAGCUCAACUGUCAGGCUGCUAGGGGAUACUGUUUGGCUUGGGACCGGGAGAGGUGAGAGGUACCUUGGGGGUAGGGGUGAAAUCUUGUGAUCCUCGAAGGACCACCAGUGGCGAAGGCGAUCUCACCAGAACGGGUCCGACGGUAAGGGACGAAAGCUAGGGGCACGAACCGGAUUAGAUACCCGGGUAGUCCUAGCCGUAAACGAUGCUCGCCAGGUGUCAGUCACGGUGCGACCGUGAUUGGUGCCGUAGGGAAGCCGUGAAGCGAGCCACCUGGGAAGUAUGGCCGCAAGGCUAAAACUUAAAGGAAUUGGCGGGGGAGCACUACAACGGGUGGAGCCUGCGGUUUAAUUGGACUCAACGCCGGAAAACUCACCGGGGGCGACAGCAAGAUGUAGGUCAAGCUAAAGACUUUACCUGAAUCGCUGAGAGGAGGUGCAUGGCCGUCGUCAGUUCGUACUGUGAAGCAUCCUGUUAAGUCAGGCAACGAGCGAGACCC
rnacentral:rRNA from 1 species